rnacentral:rRNA from 1 species
UACAGAGGGUGCGAGCGUUAAUCGGAAUUACUGGGCGUAAAGCGCACGUAGUCGGCUUGUCAAGUCGGGUGUGAAAUCCCCGGGCGUCAACCUGGGAACGUGCAUCCGAGACUGACUUGCUAGAGUAUGGCAGAGGGGGUGGAAUUCCACGUGUAGCAGUGAAAUAGCGUAGAGAUGUGGAGGAACACCGAUGGCGAAGGCAGCCCCCUCGGGCCGAACUACUGACGCUCAUGCACGAAAGCGU